rnacentral:rRNA from 1 species
UACAGAGGUCUCAAGCGUUGUUCGGAUUCAUUGGGCGUAAAGGGUGCGUAGGCGGCGGGGUAAGUCUGGGUGUGAAAUCUCGGAGCUCAACUCCGAAAUUGCACUGGAUACUGCUCUGCUUGAGGGUUGGAGAGGAGUAGUCGGAAUUCACGGUGUAGCAGUGAAAUGCGUAGAUAAUCGUGAGGAAGACCAGUGGCGAAGGGCGGAUCUCUGGAACAAAUCCUGACGCUGAGGCGACGAAG